AUUGAACGCUGGCGGCAGGCCUAACACAUGCAAGUCGAGCGGAUGAAGGGAGCUUGCUCCUGGAUUCAGCGGCGGACGGGUGAGUAAUGCCUAGGUAUCUGCCUGGUAGUGGGGGAUAACGUCCGGAAACGGGCGCUAAUACCGCAUACGUCCUGAGGGAGAAAGUGGGGGAUCUUCGGACCUCACGCUAUCAGAUGAGCCUAGGUCGGAUUAGCUAGUUGGUGGGGUAAAGGCCUACCAAGGCGACGAUCCGUAACUGGUCUGAGAGGAUGAUCAGUCACACUGGAACUGAGACACGGUCCAGACUCCUACGGGAGGCAGCAGUGGCGAAUAUUGGACAAUGGGCGAAAGCCUGAUCCAGCCAUGCCGCGUGUGUGAAGAAGGUCUUCGGAUUGUAAAGCACUUUAAGUUGGGAGGAAGGGCAGUAAGUUAAUACCUUGCUGUUUUGACGUUACCAACAGAAUAAGCACCGGCUAACUUCGUG
rnacentral:rRNA from 1 species